GAUGAACGCUGGCGGCGUGCCUAAUACAUGCAAGUCGAGCGAACAGACGAGGAGCUUGCUCCUCUGACGUUAGCGGCGGACGGGUGAGUAACACGUGGAUAACCUACCUAUAAGACUGGGAUAACUUCGGGAAACCGGAGCUAAUACCGGAUAAUAUAUUGAACCGCAUGGUUCAAUAGUGAAAGACGGUUUUGCUGUCACUUAUAGAUGGAUCCGCGCCGCAUUAGCUAGUUGGUAAGGUAACGGCUUACCAAGGCGACGAUGCGUAGCCGACCUGAGAGGGUGAUCGGCCACACUGGAACUGAGACACGGUCCAGACUCCUACGGGAGGCAGCAGUAGGGAAUCUUCCGCAAUGAGCGAAAGCCUGACGGAGCAACGCCGCGUGAGUGAUGAAGGUCUUCGGAUCGUAAAACUCUGUUAUUAGGGAAGAACAAAUGUGUAAGUAACUAUGCACGUCUUGACGGUACCUAAUCAGAAAGCCACGGCUAACUACGUG
rnacentral:rRNA from 1 species